rnacentral:rRNA from 1 species
GUCUGUAAGAAGAUUUAUAUAGUCUGCCCUGCCCACUGAUAAAGUUAAAUGGCUGCGGUAUUUUGACCGUACAAAGGUAGCAUAGUAAUUAGAUUUUUAAAUGAAAUCUGGAAUGAAAGGGUUGACAAAAAGAAAACUGUCUCAGCAAUAAAAAUACAAUUUAACUUUAAAGUGAAAAGGCUUUAAUAUAUUAAAGGGAAGAUAAGACCCUAUAAAACUUGAUAAAAUUUAUUAUUAAUUUGAAAUUGAUUAAAUAGCUUUUAAUAAUAAAGAUUUAUUGAACUGGGGCGGUUGAUUUUAAUUUUUAAUAACAUAUGAAUUUUAUAGCAUUGAUGAAUGAUCACAAAAUGAUCCUAGAAAAGAUUAAAAGAUUAAGUUACUUUAGGGAUAACAGCGUUAUUUCUUUGGAGAGUUCUUAUCAAAAAAGAAGAUUGCGACCUCGAUGUUGAAUUAAAUGGAUCUUUAUAGUGCAGAAGCUAUAAUAGAGGGUCUGUUCGACCUUUAAAUUUUU